ensembl:snRNA U6 U6 spliceosomal RNA
UGUGCCCGCUUCGGCAGCACAUUACACUAAAACUGGAACGAUACAGAGAUCAGCAUGGCCCCUGCGCAAGGAUGACACGCAAAUUCGUGAAGCGUUCCAUCUUUUU